rnacentral:sRNA from 1 species
CUGUUACUUACCAACGGGGACCAACACGCAGCAGCCGCUGCCGCCGCCGCGGGAGCCGCUGCCCGAACUCCCGGCCCGAACUCCAGACCUGAGCAUGCAGAAUUCCGAGGGUGGAGCGGAUUCGCCAGCGUCUGUGGCUCUGCGUCCCUCGGCGGCAGCCCCGCCUGUGCCAGCCUCCCCGCAGAGGGUGUUGGUCCAGGCAGCCAGCUCCAAUCCCAAAGGGGCCCAGAUGCAGCCGAUCUCCCUCCCCAGAGUUCAGCAGGUACCCCAGCAGGUGCAGCCGGUGCAGCACGUGUAUCCUGCCCAGGUGCAGUACGUGGAAGGGGGAGACGCCGUCUACACCAAUGGAGCCAUACGAACAGCCUACACCUACAACCCCGAGCCUCAGAUGUACGCCCCCAGCAGCACGGCUUCUUACUUCGAGGCCCCAGGCGGCGCCCAGGUGACCGUGGCAGCCUCGUCCCCGCCAGCGGUCCCCUCUCACAGCAUGGUGGGCAUCACCAUGGAUGUCGGGGGGAGCCCCAUCGUCUCCAGCGCGGGAGCCUAUCUCAUCCACGGGGGGAUGGACAGCACCAGACACUCCCUGGCCCACACCUCCCGCUCAUCGCCAGCCACGGUGACCCUGACGUCCUCCUUGGCUUGAAGCAAGGGUAGCUAUGAGAGAAGGCAGAACCACCAUGGUCGGAGGCCGUGGGAGAAGCAGUUACCCUCUCAUUCUUGAACUCAGCUCCGCUCGCCUGCUCUCUGAAAUACACACUCAACCUGCUCUUUGCAGAAGUGUCAAGU